rnacentral:rRNA from 1 species
ACUAACAAGGAUCCCCUAGUAACUGCGAGUGAAGCGGGAAAAGCUCAAAUUUAAAAUCUGGCGGUCUUUGGUCGUCCGAGUUGUAAUCUAGAGAAGUAAUGCCCGUGCUGGACCGUGUAUAAGUCUCCUGGGAUGGGGCGUCAUAGAGGGUGAGAAUCCCGUCUUUGACACGGACUACCAGUGCAUUGUGGUAUGCUCUCAAAGAGUCGAGUUGUUUGGGAAUGCAGCUCAAAAUGGGUGGUAAAUUCCAUCUAAAGCUAAAUAUUGGCGAGAGACCGAUAGCGAACAAGUACCGUGAGGGAAAGAUGAAAAGAACUUUGGAAAGAGAGUUAAACAGUACGUGAAAUUGCUGAAAGGGAAACGCUUGAAGUCAGUCGCGUUGGCCGGGGAUCAGCCUUGCUUUUGCAUGGUGUACUUUCUGGUUGACGGGUCAGCAUCAAUUUUGACCGCUGGAAAAGGGCCUGGGGAAUGUGGCAGCUUCGGCUGUGUUAUAGCCCCUGGUCACAUACGGCGGUUGGGAUUGAGGAACUCAGCACGCCGCAAGGCCGGGUUUCGACCACGUUCGUGCUUAGGAUGCUGGCAUAAUGGCUUUAAGCGACCCGUCUUGAAACACGGACCAAGGAGUCUAACAUGCCUGCGAGUAUUUGGGUGAAAAACCCGAGUGCGCAAUGAAAGUGAAAGUUGAGAUCCCUGUCGUGGGGAGCAUCGACGCCCGGACCAGAACUUUUGGGACGGAUCCGCGGUGGAGCAUGUAUGUUGGGACCCGAAAGAUGGUGAACUAUGCCUGAAUAGGGUGAAGCCAGAGGAAACUCUGGUGGAGGCUCGUAGCGAUUCUGACGUGCAAAUCGAUCGUCAAAUUUGGGUAUAGGGGCGAAAGACUAAUCGA